GUGGGGAAUUUUGGACAAUGGGCGCAAAGCCUGAUCCAGCCAUGCCGCGUGUCUGAAGAAGGCCUUCGGGUUGUAAAGGACUUUUAUCAGGGAAGAAAAGGCUGUUGCUAAUAUCGACAGCUGAUGACGGUACCUGAAGAAUAAGCACCGGCUAACUACGUGCCAGCAGCCGCGGUAAUACGUAUGGUGCGAGCGUUANUCGGAAUUACUGGGCGUAAUGCUACAGCNGACGGUUACUUAAGCAGGAUGUGAAAUCCCCGGGCUCAACCUGGGAACUGCGUUCUGAAUGGGUGACUAGAGUGUGUCAGAGGGAGGNAGAAUUCCACGUGUAGCAGUGAAAUGCGUANAGAUGUGGAGGAAUACCGAUGGCGAAGGCNGCCUCCUGGGAUAACACNGACGUUCAUGCUCGAAAGCGUGGGNAGCAAACAGGAUUAGAUACCCUGGUNNCCACGCCCUAAACGAUGUCUAUUAGCUGUUGGGCAACUUGAUUUGCUUUAGUAGCGUAGCUAACGCGNGAAAUUGACCGCCUGGUGAGUUACGGUCGCAAGAUUUA
rnacentral:rRNA from 1 species